GGGUGCGUAGUACAGUGGUAGUAUACUCCGCUCCAGCCGGAGAGAAGGGGGUUCGAUUCCCUCCGCGCCCA
rnacentral:tRNA from 1 species